rnacentral:rRNA from 1 species
CGGUACCCCACAUCCUUCUAGAGGAGCCUGUCCUAUAAUCGAUACUCCCCGUUCAACCUCACCAUUUUUAGCCUAUCAGCCUGUAUACUUCCGUCGUCAGCUUACCGCAUGAGCGAAUUAGUAAGCAUAAAGUUAUUUAUCAAUACGUCAGGUCAAAGUGCAGCAUAUAAAGUGGCAAGAGAUGGGCUACACUCUCUAUCAUAGAAAACUACGAAAAAUUAUGUGAAACCAUACUCAGAAGGCGGAUUUAGUAGUAAGGGGGGACUAGAAUGCCCCCCUUAACCUGGCACUGGGGUGUGUACACACCGCCCGUCACCCUCUUCAAUAUACCAAUGUAGUUCUUAACAAUUAGCCUAUUAAUAGAAGAGGCAAGUCGUAACAUGGUAAGUAUACCGGAAGGUGUGCUUGGAAA